AGAAUGAACGCUGGCGGCAUGCCUAACACAUGCAAGUCGAACGAAGGCUUCGGCCUUAGUGGCGCACGGGUGCGUAACGCGUGGGAAUCUACCCUUAGGUUCGGAAUAACAGUUGGAAACGACUGCUAAUACCGGAUGAUGACGUAAGUCCAAAGAUUUAUCGCCUAGGGAUGAGCCCGCGUAGGAUUAGCUAGUUGGUGUGGUAAAGGCGCACCAAGGCGACGAUCCUUAGCUGGUCUGAGAGGAUGAUCAGCCACACUGGGACUGAGACACGGCCCAGACUCCUACGGGAGGCAGCAGUGGGGAAUAUUGGACAAUGGGCGAAAGCCUGAUCCAGCAAUGCCGCGUGAGUGAUGAAGGCCUUAGGGUUGUAAAGCUCUUUACCCGGGAUGAUAAUGACAGUACCGGGAGAAUAAGCUCCGGCUAACUCCGCGCCAGCAGCGC
rnacentral:rRNA from 1 species